AUACCAAAAAUACAAUACAGCUUGAGAACAAUAUUAUAAAAAUAUAAUUUUUCAACAAUGCUUGAGAAACACUUAUGUUCCACAAACAUUUCUCAAUUUUGUCCCUUGUUGACAAAUUAGUUUUGAUUUUUUGUGAAAAUUGUCAGCAAGAAAUUAUUUUCUUUGGCAAAAAACAAAAUCACGCGAAUUUAGGACCCAUUUGUGGACCGAACCCUUAAGAUUGGAAGCAUCAAAAAAGUUGCAGGAAUUCAAUAAAUGUGUAGUCUUAGUGGAAGAGAUGCAGAAGUUCAAAUAAGGGAGAAGAAAGCGUCAGAGUAUCAAGGCCACAUGCGGCAGUGACUACUGGGAUGUCCAUCAAGAAAAAACGUUAAAAA